GGGUCGUUAGCUCAGUCGGUAGAGCAGCUGGCUUUUAACUAGUUGGUCGCUGGUUCGAAUCCAGCACGACCCACCA
rnacentral:tRNA from 1 species